GGUGAAUCUCAAGCUGGGAAAUCCGGAAAACAUAUAAGGAGAAGAGAGAAGUGGGGCUCCUGCAGGUCUGGAAGCGAUGAGUAAGAAGAAAAGGGGGUAAAGGAAUCGAGGCUAAUGGACACCUGUACCAUACAACCGGGGACAUAAAUUUGUUUUCCAUCCUCAUCUGGGGCUCCUUAUUUUCCAACUCCCCCAACCACCUCGAGCUCAGGGGCGUAGAAAGAAGAGGAGAUCGACCCUGCCAGGCGCUAGCCAGGGCAAGCAGUGAAGGAGUUAAGGCAGGAUUGGGGGAAGGCCGACCGGCAGAAGGGAGCAUGUGCAGUCUGCAACCGCUUCCAUACUAUGGGUGAGUGCCACUGGUACAUUGAAAUCUUCAGCCACGGCCGCAAUUGCCCUCGCGCUAUCCAGGCAUCUUCCUAAGCAGGAGAAGACAAUGCGGGUGUGAGUGGCAGAACAGAGAGGCGCAGAGCAGACACGACCCAGAGCGAGCCAGUGCGCGCCCCGGAGGGCUGCCGUGGGGGUGGGGAGGAGGCGGAGGAGGCGAGCGCUCCAGCCCGGGGAGGAGGAGGACGCACAGAGGAGCUGAGAGCUAGCUCCUGGGCAGCACCUGAAGCGGACGGCUGGCCCGGCGGGCCCCAUGCCCCCGCACCAGUGAUCUCAGUUUCUGGUCCCCGCACUGCUCCUUUUUGGACCCAGUCCUCCUGA
rnacentral:lncRNA from 1 species